rnacentral:rRNA from 1 species
AGCGAACGCUGGCGGCAGGCUUAACACAUGCAAGUCGAACGGGCACUUCGGUGCUAGUGGCAGACGGGUGAGUAACGCGUGGGAACGUGCCUUUCGGUUCGGAAUAAUCCAGGGAAACGUGGACUAAUACCGGAUACGCUCUUCGGGGGACAGAUUUAUCGCCGAAAGAUCGGCCCGCGUCUGAUUAGCUAGUUGGUGAGGUAAAGGCUCACCAAGGCGACGAUCAGUAGCUGGUCUGAGAGGAUGAUCAGCCACAUUGGGACUGAGACACGGCCCAAACUCCUACGGGAGGCAGCAGUGGGGAAUAUUGGACAAUGGGCGCAAGCCUGAUCCAGCCAUGCCGCGUGAGUGAUGAAGGCCUUAGGGUUGUAAAGCUCUUUUGUCCGGGAAGAUAAUGACUGUACCGGAAGAAUAAGCCCCGGCUAACUUCGUGCCAGCCGCCGCGGUAA